rnacentral:lncRNA from 1 species
AGUGGAAGGAAAAGAGUGAACUCUUGUGCUUAAUCGACUAGUCUUUAUGGGAUAAGUAGAGAAACUUCUAGCUCAGUUUAUGAAAAGUCUUGGCCCCCGAAAAAAAAAAAGAGAAACAAAAAAGAAAAGAAAAAAAAAUAUAUAUAUAUAUANNNNNNNNNNNAGUUUAUGAAAAGUCUUGGCCCCCGAAAAAAAAGUAUAUAAAAAAAAAAAAAAGGGGGCUAGCAAAACUGUUUAGAGCUAAGUUUUGUUUUGAAGUUGAGAAAAAUCCUUAUGAGAUUUCAAAGAAAAGAGUUUUGUGUGCAGGGUGUUCUUGAGAUCUUUUGGUGAGAGAUGUGAGUUGGGCUUGACAUUGGGGAAAGAUUGUGUAAUUGUAUGUUUGGGAAAAGGGUAGAACAAUGGAGAUUGAGCAUUGUAUGCAUGAGUUGGUCCCAUUCUUAGAUAUAUUAUGUGCAAUGUCAAGGCUACUUGUUUCGAGAGUAAACACCUUAA